AUUAUUAUUGUCUAUUUUCCUAUAUUAGAACAUAAGUUCCAGGAAAUCAGGAACCUUGUCUCUCUUGUUCACUGGUGUAUCCUCUGCAUAUAGAACAGUGCCUGGCACAUAAUAGGUGCUGAGUAAGUAUUUGUUGAAUGAAUGAAUGAAUGAAUCAUGUACUAUGAAAUAGGGGAAUGAAGUAACAAUGACAAGAUGGUGACACAGUUUUAGAAAAUACCCACACUUUUUAUAUUCUAACUGCCUUUAUCAACCCUGAGUGAGUAACCCCAAUCCAUUUAACUCAUAGCCUACUACCCAUUCUUUUAACUGCUAACUUUAAUUUAAUAAGCAUGCCAUGAUUUCAUUAAUACCAAUGUACAUUAUAAUCAAUCCAUUCACAAAAUUAAAAGAUUCUAACUAAAAUGGUCUAAAAGUAUUAAUAAGAAAAAUACUAAAAAAAUUUAUACAUAAAUGAUCUGAAAAUACUUGUCAGAAAAUUGAACUAUAAAACUUUGACAUAAGCAGUUUUGAAAAUAUUAAGAAAAAGAAACUAAAAGUUGGAAAUUUCAGUAAAAGCUUAAAAUUUACCCUAUCUGCUAAGUUAACCAGAAAAAAUCAUAUAACCUCUCUAUAAUUCUUAAUUUAAACCUGUUAUCACAGAAAUCUAGUUGGGUCCUUAAUUCUGCCUAACAAUCUUCCUCUAUUUUUCUAAUUGUUUAUUUUUCUACUCAAUAACAUUUCCCACAUUUCCCUCUUUCUUUAAGUCUACGUGCCUCUUCCAUUUCCUUUCCUUUCUCAUCUUCUUUCUUGAGAGUGGAAGAUCUUUUGAUUUAUCUGGUAAAAUAGAAACUCUUAAACAAGGACUCCUUAUCUUACCUUUGGGCAUAUCUAUCAAGUUGCCUUUGGCUAUGCCCAUAUCCUCAGCUUUCCAUGUGUAACUAGAAAGGAGGUGACCUCAAACCCCCUUGUGCUUUGGAUCCUAAUCCUCUGGACUUCUUAAUGACUGCUUUAUUUCUUGUUUCUCAUAAUCUACAAAGCCAUCCUUUUCAAAUCAUACUUAAUAGCUUUUGGACAUAGUAUGGUAUAUCUUAACUGUAAAAAUUCUCCAGAUCUGACAGAGAUAGUGUUUUAUAGUGUAAAAAGGGUGUUGUAUUUAAUAACUGUGAUUGCAAAACUGGCUAUUCUUAAGGCAGGAAGUAAUGGACGAAUUCUAGCUUCAAAGCUAAUACAAAAACAAUACCCCAAAGGGGAAAAAAGACCAUAAUAAUCUAAAAAGAAAAUUUUAAGAAAUUAUAGUACCUAGUGCUUGAAAAGACAUUUUAAUCAAGGUAGACCCUCUAAGAGCUUUAAAAUAUAUGAUUUUUAAAAAGUCAUGUAUAUGAUAAAAAUUAGUUUUAUAGCCAAUAUGCCAAAUACAAAGUCAAUUGCUAACUACUAGAUUAGCAGAUAAAUUUCAUGUCUAUAACAGAAAGGGUUGCUACGACUACUGUUAGAAUACUAAUAUAAUAUGUACACUAAUAUACAUAAUAUAAAAAUACAAACAACCCAGUUAAAAUUAACAAAGAUAUAAACAGGCUCUUCAGGAAGAAUAAUUCCAAAUCAACAAUAGACAAUAAACAUGAAAGACACUGAAUCUCCCAAUGAGGAAAAUGAACAUAACUAACAACAAAGUAUCACAUUGCAGCAUUAAUUAGCAACAGUUAAGCAAAUUUAAUAGAAUUGGAUAUGAUUGAAAGAAAAGGAUAUUAAGUCAGACAGUGGGGAGGUAUUGUUACCUUCAUAGUUAAAUUCAAAAGUGCCCCAGGCCCCCCCCCCCCAGGUGUUCUUUAGUCAUUUUGACUCUUUGACUCAUCAUAUUAAUUUGCCUUUCUAGACUAUGAUACUUGAACUCACACAGCUGCUUCUGCUUUGAGGCCCUCAAACUAGCUAUUUUCUCUGCCAAGAUAGUCUUCCUUCUCCUGUUGGUCUUUGCUCAAAUUAAACCAACCAACCCUGAUAUUUUGUUUAAAAUGACAACUGUACUUCCCUUCUGUCUCCUAAAAUCCUGUAUACUGUGUAUCUCCCUUACUCUGCUCUUCUUUUUCUACGCAGCAUGAACUUUCUUCCAUGAUCCUAUUUAAUUUAGUUAUGUUACAUUUGUUUCUUUCUCCACCUUUUCCAUUCUGAAUAUAAUUUCUACAAGGGCAAGGAUCUUUGUUUUGCUCAGUGAUAAAGUCCACGCAUCUAAACCAAUGCCUGACACCAAUAGUUGCCCAGUAAUAAUUUUCCACAUAAGAAGAUAAAUGAGUGAAUGGAUGGAUGGAUGAUUGAACAAGUUUUAACAGGAAAAAAUCAUGUUCUUAUGUAAAAAGUUACUGUCUUAAUCUUUUUAUAUUUUAAAGGAGAAAAAAGUAACUUACAUUCCACUAGUCUGAAAUCCUGAUUUGAAAUGAAGAUAUGACAAGACCCAGAGAAAUGAUUUCCAUUCAGGAGAGAAUCUCUAAGUGAAAAUUCAUGUGCUGAUCAGGCUCAAUAUAUACCAUCAAAAUUCUAAUUAAGUCAUUCCCUACCCCAAGUCCAAUCAAGGCUGAUUAAUUCUCUCUCCAUUUCUACCAAUUGAAUCACUUCCUCCCAAUUCUAGUAAAUCCUUUCAUAUACAAAGUUGAAAUUUGUGCUUAAAAAUGUUGGAUGUUUUUGAUAAGAAACAGAAAACCCAAUGGGCAUGAGUCAAAAUUGCAUUAAUGAAUAAUAUAAAUAAUGGAAUCUGCUUUGAAAUUUAAACCUAAUUCUAUACGAAAAGUUAGUGCUUUAAUUUGUUUUGAUAAGUAAGGAGGUUUUUAAAAAGUGGCUUGCCUUCUAUCCCCAAAUUCUGAUUUUAAAUGAAGACACUUAGGUUCAGAGGGGUGGUUUCCUGGAUAUAACCUCAGUGUGAAAUUUUCUUUGCUGAUAGUCCAGUUAGAUUACUGGAUAAUAUUAUAAUCUAACUACUACUUGUCUAAUUACAUGGUUAUUUUAUACUAAUUAGCAAGCCAGACAAUUAUUACUAAGACAAUUAAGAAUAAAACUUACUAAAAAUAGUUAAAAUAUCUAAACUAUAGAAAAUAAAAGAAUAGAAAAAUACAUGCCAGGCAAUAUAAACAAUAACAAGAAGACUUUAUGGAGUGAUAUUAAUUAUUAAAUUAUUCUUUUUAUUAAGUAACAUUAAUAGGGACAAAGAUGUGCAUCUUAUUAUAUUACAAAGAAAAAUCCACUAGGAAAUAAUGUAAUCAUGAACAUGUAUGCAACUAACCACAUAGCUGGAAAAGUGUGAAGCAAAAAGAAUUUCAAGGAAAAGCUGACAAAUCUGCAAUCAUGGUGGAAAUCUUUUUAUAACAUAAAUUGUUCUCAUCUUGGUAGAUCAUGCAGACUAACAAUAUUGAUCUAAUAUAUAUGUUAUAUGUGUGUGAAUAUAUGUGUAAUAUAUGUGUAUGCUUAUUGUAUUUAUAUAUGUAUAUAAAAUCUUAUAACAAAAACAGAAUACACAUUAUUUUCAAUAAACAUUGAAUAUUUUUUCCAAAUUAAUUAAGUAUAAAGCCCC
rnacentral:lncRNA from 1 species